AAAGACUCCAGACAUUGCCAAACAUCCCUUGGGACCAAAAUUUUUCCUGCUUGAGAAGCACUGAUUUAAGCUGAGACCCGAAAGAUAAGGAGUCCCUCAAGAGAGGAUUGCAUUGGGGAGUCUUUGAGGCCAUAGUAAAGAGUUUGGAUUUUACUCUAAGUAGAAAGAAAUCAUUGUUUUUAGUCAUGGGUGACAUCAUCUACUUUGAAUUUUGAAAAGCUCCUCCAGGCUGUGGAGUGGAGGGUGGAUUAACUAGAGUAACAGAAAGUCACAGCUGUCAACGGAGGCUGUUACAGUUGUCUGCCCAACACCCAGGAAGGCCUGGACUGGGGCUGUGGCACCGGAGGUGAAGAAAAGGAGAACACCCAGGUCUUGCUGAUGGAUUUGAUGUGGAGAUUCCAUCCCUAAGCGUACCCCAUGGGGCCUCCUUUGCUCCCUGGUGAAGUGUCAGUAUUUGCUGGGGCAGGAAGGGGUGGGAGGUUGGGGAGAUGUUAAACUUCACGCCCGACCCAAUAGCUUCUGGCUCCUAGCUCUCGCGAGAAUAUGUAUGUGGCAUUAACAUUUGGUUGGGAUGAUCCCUGGAAGUGUGCGUGCUGGGCUCAGGGCUCUCUGUCCCCUGUGAUUCUGGCCGAUGGAGAGCAUCUCUUGGGCACUCAAGAUUUCUGUUCAAAAUCCUGGAAAGGCAGAAAAAGCAGAGCUGAUUAAUGAAUGGAGGCUAACUGAGGCUGGAUGCUCAAUUCUCACUUUCAAAGCCAGUGAUGAUGCAAAAUCCACUCGGCAUCCUCAACUCAGUCCAGGAAUCUUGUUCCUUAAUGGGGAAGAAUGGAAGCCCAGUGACCUGGCAGCUGGGGCUGGCAGUAAGCAAAGCUAUUGUUUACGGCAAUAAAUCAUAGCUGACCAUGGGCCCCUUGUGUGAAGUCAGAGAAUGAUGGGCAGGCAUUAGGGGAACAGGGGAGUGAGGAUGUUUGGUGAAAAGCAUUGUGUUACCAGGGAUGUGGGAGAACAGCAGGAGCAAACUAACAAAAUCCUGGGGCGCAAGGAAGGCCUGUUGGUUUGUUUUUAAUUGCAUAGAACACGGUUGCCAGAAUUUUAAAUUGUAGCGCUCUCGGCAUGUAAUUAAGCGAGCGGGUUUAGUUGGCACCAACUGGGAUACCAGGCUGUUGAUACAGCUUAUGAUCUUCUGAUAUUAAAAUUUCAGGGGCUGAGUGUGUGUGUGUCCCUCUCCUAUUGGUACAAUUUUUCUCUGGGCCUCCAAGCUCCACGUAAAAAUGACCAGCUCCCUUCAUGUGUUUUGUUUUGGCGCCCGGAUGAAAGCCCCAUCUAGGUCUCAGUCUGUCCUGCGUCAGUAACAUUCAGUUGAAGGGGUUUGUGGAUCGGAAACAAAGAUGGAUCAUCUCAGCCCAACCAUGGCAUCCCAGUCAUUACAAAUGCUCCCGUGCAAUUUCUUCUUUGGAUUAUCGUCACAGCAUUUUAGAGCUGAAUAUGAACUUGGCAAUUACCUUCUCACUUUAUAUAUGAGAAAUCUGAGGCCAGAGUUGUGAACUUCCUGAAGGUGACUCAGGUGAUGGGUGGUAUCAGGAAAUGCCCGGGACCGGAACCUGGGCCCAGGGUCCUCUCUGGUAUAACCCUGAGGCCCCUCCCAUAGCUCUAGGCUGUCUCUUCUCCAUCCUGCUCCCUGCCCAACCUCCUUCCACAUGAACUCCCACCCUCCUGAAAUACUGCUGUUCUCCCAGUCUUUUGACCAGAAGUAUGGCAGCCCUGCUGCAGAUGUUUCAGGGAGAGAGAAGAGGAAGGUCACGGCCCAGGUAACUUAAAUGCUUUAUGAAAUGGUAGACGAUAGUUCACUUUUUAAGUCACGAGGGAACCAUUUCACCUUGGCAAAGGCAACUUACUUAGUGGACCGUAAUGGCCUGGAAGAGUUCCUGCCCCUCCCCAAAGUGAGCAAUUUCCUCUGUUCAGCUCUGCCUGCACAGGCCCAUUACAUCAUAAAUACACUGUGUGUUUACCUGGCAAUAAUCUCGAGUGGGAACCUUUCAAGAGGUUCUCUUCGAUCCUUCCUAGCAAUGCGCUCAGAAAUGUGGGUGGGUGGGUGGGGGCAGGUGGAGGGCCUCUUCCUAGAGGACGAAAAGGAAGGCACACAGAAGGUCCCGAGAGUGACCAGAGGUCAGGACGGGGUCUCUGAGCCUCGCAGCCACCCCUCCUUCAUGCUGCCUAUUUGGACCUUGUUGCUACCGCAGCAGAUAGAGGAUUUGAACGAGACCCAGUUUCCCCUUCCCGGGCCAGUGAAGGUGGAGUUUCUCAUAUGCUCUUUAUUAGGGGUGGAUAAAGGAGAAAUAGCUGAGGAUCUUUGGGAUUGAAAAGCAUGUUUGUUUGUUUACGGUGACCAUGUCCUAGAUGUCUUGGAUGCCCUGACUUCAAAUAUUCUGUCUUUAUAAGUUCAUGUACUUAACCGAAAUUUACAUUCCCGUUUUUGGUUCUAAAGAUAGAGACGUUACACUUAUUUGGAAGUGGAAUUCUUCACCCCCUUCCUGGUAUCUGACUUUGAACCACACAAAGAACAGAAUCAACACCCCGCCCUCACAAUCACACCAGCUAAUUAUCUAGCGAGCCUGUGACGGGGCCCAGCAAGGCAGAGUGUGUUUGUGAGCCUGGGUUUGGGAAUCCGUUCUGGGUUCAAACCCCAGCUUCCAGCAUCAUAAUGGACAACCCUUUUCUAAGGCUGUUUCAGAGCAUUAGCCUCCAGGUUACCCCUCUAAUCCUUGGUGCCUGACUCAGGGCCUUUGCACGUGUGCUUUCCUUUCUCUGGAAUGCUCUUCCCCCAGAGAUCCACACGCCUACACCCCUGCCUCCUUCAAGCCUUUGCCCAAUGUGAUUGGGUGGAGGCCUUUCACGACCGCUCUCUAAAAUUGCAGUCCGCCACGCCCUCACUCCAUCUUCUUCCUUGCUUUGUUUCUCCACAGCAUUUAUCACCCUCUGGCAUAUUGUACAAUUCACCUAUAUUUCUUAUUUAUUGUCCGUCUCCCCCAGCUACAGUGUAAGCUCCACGAGGGCAGGGAUUUUCGUCGGCUUUGUUCAGGGCUCCAACCCCAGUGUCUGGAACAGUGCCUGACUAUUGGUAGGAACUUAACAAAUACAAAUGGAUACAUCAAUUUGAGCAAAAGUCACUUACCUUUCUGAGCCUAUGUCCUCCCUCUCUUAAAGGAUGGUGUGAGAAUUAAGUAAGACAACUGCUGGAGAUAAAAAUAACAGCCAACAUAUAUUUCGUACUUGCUUAUUCAGUGCCAGUUUUCAAAUGCGCUAAAUGCUUAAUGGGGAUUAUUUGGUUUCAUCCUCCCCCAAAUCCUAUGAGGUAUUCGUUUUAUCUUCAUUUUACACAAGAGGAACCUGAGGCUUAGAGAAGUUGAGUCAUCUAUCCAGGGUCACACACAAUGCAGGUCCAUAUUUGUUUGAGCCCAGAGCCAGCACUCUUAACCCUGACAGCAUCGUGCACAGGGCCUGCUGUGUAGCUGUGGCUUGGCCAGGGCUAAUUCCCUUCUCCAAGUCACAGAGCGUAAGAAGCUUGUGGCCCGUCUGCCCCCUCUUCUGUUGUGAACCUGUCCUUCCCACUGAAACUUGACAUCUUGGAAGCGUCCCCUGUCCUCGGGAGGCAUCGUGGUAAAUGUAGCAGAGAGAUGGUAGGUUUGUUCUUACUGUGUGAUCUUGGGUAAUCAUGUCCGCUCCCUGGGCCCCAGGUUCUACUGGUCUGAUGAGCACUGAGGUCUCUCCCAGCUCGAAACAGCCCUCAGGACCGUAGAGGACACCACCGGGUUGUGUGGUGUAUGAAUCAUGACGGAAGAUCCUGCCCCCAGGCUGUGGCCUUAACCCCACUCUCCUCAAUAAUACAGUCUAUCCUGUUCUGACAGUUGCUGGCCUUUCCCCUCCCACACCUCUAGAGCUUGAACUUCUGGCUGCUGGAUUUGAGGGGGAGGAUGGAGGAAGCAACAUAUCUAGUGAUUCUCUAAGCACUUCUCUAGGGGUGAGACCAAGAGAAAUAAAAGAAAGGCUUGAGAGCCCUUCCCACCCAUAGUCACUGCCUGGGACAGCAUCACUGCAGGAAAUGGACUUCCUUUGUGGGCUCACGGGGGAGAUAUGCCCAGCCCUCCGGAAGCUCUGCAGAAGGGCUUGGGCACUGCUUGUAAAAGCUCAUCUGCCCAACAGCCCCUUUCCGAUUUCCCACCACACGUCCCGCCAAAAGAGCCCCCGGGAUCCCCUUAUUUGCCAACCCUAGAACUGUCUCACUUCAGUUCCAAGUUCUGAACUGGGAUUUCUUCCCCCUCCUUGUGAAAUGGAGGUGACAUGGAGGUUGAUCAAGCCGCGCUAGCCGAGGUCUUGGGUUGUUCUCACUGAGUCAUUCACUUACUCAUCAUUCAUUCAUUAAACUUUUAUGUCCUAGAUUAUUUGCAAGGGAUUCAGAGAGGAAACUAGUCAAAUCCUGGCAAACUUAAAUUCGGUAAUUAGUCAUUUGAGGAGAGUUACUAAAGAGACUUUUCAAAGGUGGAUAGAGUGUAGAAAAACAAGGCGUAGCGUAGUACCCUGGAGCUAGUAAUAUAAGGAUGAUGUUAUCAACCCUGGGCUGAAGGGGUAAAAGGAGAGAACAUUCCCAGAAUCCAAAAAGAAAGAGCCAUGUGGAGAGGGCCACCUGGCAGGAGCUGUGUGUGACCUUAGGUUGAAGGACUUAUCUUGCUGGUGGGGUGAAAACCUUGACCUCCUUCACUUCCCUCCAUUGGCCGAACUCUGUUGAUAUAGUUGGUAUGAGUCAGCCUCUUGGGGUUCACAGCAGGGCAGAGAAGAGCAGAGUGGGGAUCUGGAAGGACAAACAGAUUUCUAGCUCAGAAAUCAGGCACAGCCUCCGUCCUCAAGGAGCUUGCAUACCAGAAGGGGAGACAGGAGUGCAAAUUACAGUGUGAUAAAUGCUUUAACAAAGACAUGAGCAAAGGACAGGAGGAGCUCAGGGUCAGGAAAUGAAAUCUGCGGGGGAGGGUGUUAAUGUGUGUGAAGGUAGGGGGAGGUGGUUGGUUCCCGGGAAGGGGUUUGCAGACAAACUGUUUCUCAAAUGAUGAUCAGGCUUCUUGGAGGAAGUAGUAUCUUGAACUGAGACCUGAAAUAUCAGUAAGAAUUGACCAGGAGAAGAAAAAAAAGAAAAGGAGUCCAGGCAGAGUGAAAAACGUGUAUAAAGGCUGGAGGCUGAAGGAGAGUAUUUCUCUUUGAGAAAUUGACUGAUGUCCUUAUAAGAAGAGGAGAUUAAGACUCAGACAGGCACAGAGAGAAGACCGUGUGUAGACAAGGAGAAGAUGGCCAUCUACAAGCCAAAGAGAGAGGCCUCCAGAAGAAACCAACCCUGCCUACGCCUUCACCUCCAACAUCUAACCUCCAGAACUAUUCUUAUCAUCUCAUUUGAGGCUGCCCUGGAGGUUACUGUGACCUCAGUUUUCCUUAGGACAAUGUAUUGGGUGUUAAAGGAGGGACAAGGAGAGUGUGACCUGGCAGAGAAUGCCCUCCAGCUGCCCUGCCAGCCUCUGGGAGAAGACACAGCCCGAGUGGUUUGGCAGUUAUGGAAAUGCAUGGGCUUUGAAGGUCCAGCUUCAUCCUUCUGGGGCUAUGUGGAAUUUGGUAAGUUACUUAACUUCUCUGAGUCACGCCCCUUUGGUUACAAAUAAUUGAAAGCCACUUGGUUUGUCUUAAUCAGAAUGGAGCGCCUAAUUGAAAGAGUCUCAGAAAAUCUGGGAGCCAGUGGAAGAGUCACCAUGGACCGUGGCGUGGCCUCUUUCUUCCUCCUCUUUCUUCCCUGGAGUUGCAAAGUUCUCUGUGCACCUGAAUUUCAGCACAUCUGAUUCUUUCUUCUUUCUGGCUUAGCCUUCAUGGUACACAUGACCACAGGCUGAUGUUCCAGUCCCCCCGUCAUGAAGGGCCUUACAGUAAUGUCUCUAUAUCCACAUCUACAUUUCUGGGGAAAAAAACUGAACCUGCUGCUCUGGGGUCAAGUUUCCACCGUGGCCUGAGGAGUGUGGGGCAUGCUUGGUACCAGCAUGCCAGCAAUGACCCACCUUUGUGGGUAGAUAGCAGGUCCUCAAAGAAGAGAAAGAAGUGGAAAAUCAUUCAGUUGGGUGUUCAGUGCAGUCUUUAAGCUUUGGUUUUCUCAUAUGAGAAUGGGAAUGAUAUUACCUACCUCAUGAGGAUGAAAUGAAAUACUGUUCGAAAAGUGCUUAUCAUUGUGGCUGACAUAGUAAGCGCUGCCCCUUGAACAACUGCUCUUAUUCAAGUUGAGGUUCACUGGACUUGGCAGGAGAAUCUCUGAGGCUGGAUGGGCCUGGGUAGGACAGGAGGGUCAGGCUGAAGGGAUGGGAUUUGGGAAUAUGGGGAACAUGUCUUUUUUUUUUUUUCCUAAUAGAUUUAUUUAUUUAUUUUUGGCUGCAUUG